GUGCCUGUAUCUGCAUGAGCUCUGGCUAUUAAGCUAGCACGCUAGCAGUUCGGGCUGAGACAGUCCCUUCGAACCUGAUCAGGGUGAUGCCUGCGUAGGGAGCGUGCAUUAUUUUUUCG
rnacentral:ncRNA from 1 species